rnacentral:rRNA from 1 species
GAUGAACGCUAGCUACAGGCUUAACACAUGCAAGUCGAGGGGUAACGAGAGGAAAGCUUGCUUUCCUUGUCGACGACCGGCGCACGGGUGAGUAACGCGUAUCCAACCUGCCCCCAACUAGGGAAUAACCUUGCGAAAGUAAGACUAAUACCCUAUAAUUUCCUCAGAUGACAUCUGACGAGGAAUAAAGAUUUAUCGGUUGUGGAUGGGGAUGCGUCUGAUUAGCUUGUUGGAGGGGUAACGGCCCACCAAGGCAACGAUCAGUAGGGGUUCUGAGAGGAAGGUACCCCACAUUGGAACUGAGACACGGUCCAAACGCAUACGGGAGGCAGCAGUGAGGAAUAUUGGUCAAUGGGCGGAAGCCUGAACCAGCCAAGUAGCGUGCAGGAUGACGGCCCUAUGGGUUGUAAACUGCUUUUAUACAGGAAUAAAGUUAGCCACGUGUGGUUAUUUGUAGGUACUGUAUGAAUAAGGACCGGCUAAUUCCGUGCCAGCAGCCGCCGUAA